rnacentral:lncRNA from 1 species
UCGAAACCAGAAUGAGUACUAGAAAUAAUAAUAUUAUCCAAAUACAUAAUUAAUGGUACACAACAUAAUAAUAACAUUGUCCAAGUGAAUAAUAUUACAUCACAUAUAUCCAAAUACAUAAUUAAUGGUACACCACAUAGUAAGAACAUUAUCCAAGUGCAUAAUAUUACACCACAUAAAUGUAUCAAUAUCUUCAACCCUGAGAAAAUUUUUGAAGCCAAAUUU